ACGAACGCUGGCGGCGUGCCUAAUACAUGCAAGUCGAGCGAAUUAAUAGGAGCUUGCUCCUGUUAGUUAGCGGCGGACGGGUGAGUAACACGUGGGCAACCUGCCUGUAAGACUGGGAUAACACCGGGAAACCGGUGCUAAUACCGGAUAAUCCGUUUCCUCUCAUGAGGAAACGCUGAAGGACGGUUUCGGCUGUCACUUGCAGAUGGGCCCGCGGCGCAUUAGCUAGUUGGUGAGGUAACGGCUCACCAAGGCGACGAUGCGUAGCCGACCUGAGAGGGUGAUCGGCCACACUGGGACUGAGACACGGCCCAGGCUCCUACGGGAGGCAGCAGUAGGGAAUCUUCCACAAUGGACGAAAGUCUGAUGGAGCAACGCCGCGUGAGCGAUGAAGGCCUUCGGGUCGUAAAGCUCUGUUGUUAGGGAAGAACAAGUACCGGAGUAACUGCCGGCACCUUGACAGUACCUACCAGAAAGCCACGGCUAACUACGUGCCAGCAGCCGCGGUAAUACGUAGGUGGCAAGCGUUGUCCGGAAUUAUUGGGCGUAAAGCGCGCGCAGGCGGUCCUUUAAGUCUGAUGUGAAAGCCCAGCGGCUCAACCGUGGAGGGUCAUUGGAAACUGGGGGACUUGAGUGCAGAAGAGGAAAGCGGAAUUCCACGUGUAGCGGUGAAAUGCGUAGAGAUGUGGAGGAACACCAGUGGCGAAGGCGGCUUUCCGGUCUGUAACUGACGCUGAGGCGCGAAAGCGUGGGGAGCAAACAGGAUUAGAUACCCUGGUAGUCCACGCCGUAAACGAUGAGUGCUAAGUGUUAGGGGGUUUCCGCCCCUUAGUGCUGCAGCUAACGCAUUAAGCACUCCGCCUGGGGAGUACGGCCGCAAGGCUGAAACUCAAAGGAAUUGACGGGGGCCCGCACAAGCGGUGGAGCAUGUGGUUUAAUUCGAAGCAACGCGAAGAACCUUACCAGGUCUUGACAUCCUCUGACACUCCUAGAGAUAGGACGUUCCCCUUCGGGGGACAGAGUGACAGGUGGUGCAUGGUUGUCGUCAGCUCGUGUCGUGAGAUGUUGGGUUAAGUCCCGCAACGAGCGCAACCCUUGAUCUUAGUUGCCAGCAUUCAGUUGGGCACUCUAAGGUGACUGCCGGUGACAAACCGGAGGAAGGUGGGGAUGACGUCAAAUCAUCAUGCCCCUUAUGACCUGGGCUACACACGUGCUACAAUGGAUGGUACGAAGGGCUGCAAGACCGCGAGGUUUAGCCAAUCCCAUAAAACCAUUCUCAGUUCGGAUUGUAGGCUGCAACUCGCCUACAUGAAGCCGGAAUCGCUAGUAAUCGCGGAUCAGCAUGCCGCGGUGAAUACGUUCCCGGGCCUUGUACACACCGCCCGUCACACCACGAGAGUUUGUAACACCCGAAGUCGGUGGGGUAACCGUAAGGAGCCAGCCGCCUAAGGUGGGACAGAUGAUUGGGGUG
rnacentral:rRNA from 1 species